rnacentral:SRP_RNA from 2 species
GCUGGGCGUGGUGGCGGGCACCUGUAAUCCCAGCUACUCGGGAGGCUGAGGCAGGAGAAUCGCUUGAACCCAGGAGGCAGAGGUUGCAGUGAGCUAAGAUCCUGCCACUGCACUCCAGCCUGGGCAACAGAGUGAGACUCUGCCUCAA